rnacentral:rRNA from 1 species
CGCAAACCAAUCCACACACCUGUGAACGUAUGGCCUCUCGAGUCCUUUUGGACUCGGGGGCAAACCCCCUUUUUUAUCUUGAUCGUAAAGGAAUGUCUUUGCCUAAAGCGCAAAAGCAAACAACUUUCAACAACGGAUCUCUUGGCUCUCGCAUCGAUGAAGAACGCAGAGAAAUGCGAUAAGUAAUGUGAAUUGCAGAAUUCAGUGAAUCAUCGAAUCUUUGAACGCACCUUGCACCCUUUGGUAUUCCGAAGGGUACGCCCGUUUGAGUGUCAUUGUAAUCUCACCCCCCGGAAUCUUUUCUGGGGAGUGGACUUGGACGUUGCCGUGUCACGGCUUGUCUGGAAUGUCUCAGUGCUACCCCGCCCGUCGGCGUAUACAGUGUGAUAAGUAUCUUCACUGGUCAGCUUCCUCGGAGG